UGAGAAAUAUCCAGGACGAGCUACUGAGGAAGACAUAAAAUGUUUUUUUUUCUCCUUUAUAGAUCCAACUCCCCUGGCUCAUGGAGGUUCUGCAGAAUACUGGUCUGAGCCUGGACUGAGCUUGCUGUGUGAUUGUUGGACAAGAUGGAGCCAAUGUGGAGGCACAGGCGAAGAAGAAA
rnacentral:lncRNA from 1 species